UUCCCUGGUAGACUAUGAGUGCCGACCACUGAUCUGUGGUGCCGAAUGGCGCCGAACGAAGUUGAGAAACGCUAGCGAGUCAGUCGGAUUUUCGUGACGCCGCCCAACUGCUCUGCUACCGGCUGCGCUCAACAAAUAAUACGACCUUCUACACGUUGCACAUCUUGUCGACAUGUCGCUGGUGUUUGAGACAAAUUGGAAGUCACUGUUUGCUCACUCCUUGGUGCACAUAUUUCAUGUUCAACAUCGGGUAUCUUAAGGAGGCGGCAUGAAACCCUGGAGUUUGUUCAGAGGCACCUCAGUUAGGUAAACCCCAGCAAAUGCAGCAAUACAGUCUCAUGGGGCCACACGAAGGAUAACGGCAUUCCUGCUCGAGUCCGAGUCUUGUCACCGAACUUCACUGAG
rnacentral:lncRNA from 1 species